CAUCCUCCAAUAGUUUUUCUUGCUCCUCAACGCCAGUCAUGGUUGGUGUCAUUGGCUGCGAAAAAAACAGAGAUACCUACCGAUGCCAAGUAGCACCAUGCAAGAAUCAUCUACCUGGAUAAUACGCAUGCUUAUCAAGUUUACGAUGAAUACAUCCCAGCACUCUAAAAUGGAUGAAAAGUUAGUGACAGUUGGAGAUUCAUAGAAAGGUGGUUGAUGACUGUUAUUUUGUGUCUACAAUAUGAUGACUUCAUAAUCAAAAAUAGUAAUAUAUCCAAUUCCUUCUGGACAUUGGAUGAGAUUUAAAAAAAAGUUAUUAGAAAUUCUUAGUUUUCCAGUACUCCAACUCCGACAGGGUUCUUCAUAGUUUUUCUAAACUAAUUCUAAGAUCACAUAUUAUCGGUUAUAUGAACAGAAAAAAUUUGAUGUUCCAAGACAAGAUAUUUUUAAAUGAUGAGGAAAACUUGCACCAAACUCUUACAUGAGCAUUUCACCACUCAACUACUUGGGCACUGUAGCAUGAAUGCAUCGAAAGGAAAUGCCAGAUUGCAAGGGGUUCUUACUAAUUUCUAAAAAAGUUAUUAACAGCAAGUGACUAUUAAAUUUUGGAUUGCACACUUAAAAUCAAAAUCGAAUCAUAAGAAAAUAAUACUUGUCUUUGUAUACUUCCAAAUUUGGUAAAACAUACAGCUAUCUCGAAAACAAACUGUAUAGUUUUGCAUACAACAUUUCGGCUGUCAUAACAAUACGCCGUUGUUUACAAGCCACUGAGGUUUGAACAUGAAUUAGCAGCCUUGAAAACAAUCCCUUAGCUUAAUAACUCUUGUAGUUAUUAUCCUACUACAAUAAUGUUCUGUGAAAUAGUACGAAGAAACAGACUACUACUGGUUGCAGACUCGCAAGCUCAGUUUGCUCGAAUGACAAUUCGUGAAAGCAAUUGAUCAUUGUUGCGUGACAGGGAAAAGGUAAAAAAAAAAAGCAUAUUUACCGACUUAAACUUAGUGUAAGCUGAAUGAGAGUGCAAAGAACCAAGUUUCUAUGUCAUAAUAGGUGUCCAUAGAUUAGUAACGGAUUGUAGGUUAGGGCGAGGUGAACAUAAAAUAUAAAAAUAUUACGUUAGAAUCAGAUCUGAACUGCCAUCCCCAGUCCAUCAUUUAUUUAUCAACAGCCAGAUUCAGUUCUGAGCCAAUCAAUAAAAAUUCGUAAAAUGGAAUUAAAAAAUAAUAUGUUGUUCGUAUAAGAAGAUGGAUGAUUGGUACUGACGGAUAAUGAAGGUUAUUGGAAUUUAACCUAUGACGAUGAUAUAAGUCAAUAGCGUAAAGCACCAUUCGAAGAACAUAAAAAAUGAAUCAUCGAUACAUUAUGGGUAUCAUAUUACUUUGCCGCGUACUUCUACCAGAGUUGGGAAAUACGGGCUGCAUUCCAAGGAGCAUUACACCAGUAAAACACUUGAGCUCACCAUUUUCUAUAUCUUUUCUUUUUCGUUUGUGCCGUCGAUAUCUUUGUUUCUCAGUUAAUUCAAGUAUUGUUUUCUUCAAUAAACAUUGAGAAGCAUCGAUCGUGUUUUAUUUUAAGACAACAAAAUGGCACCCUCACAUUAUUUUACCCAGCCAAAAGUUUAUCCCUAUAGAUUAGGUAUACGGGAGUAAAACGGAUUUACAAUCUUCAAAUGAUUCAAAUGUUGGAUUCUGUUUUUUUUUUUUUUUUCAAACCCGAUAUUUACACGCGACUCCGUUAUUUUAGACCUGCGGGUCAAUACGAAACGACGGCCGACGAGUGACAGAUCGACACGUGAAACGCCGCCAAACGUCUGUCACUUCCUAUAUCAGCUAUAGGAUAUGUAGGUUGCCUGGCGGUUGGUUGGUAUGUGUGAUAUGUGCGAUGUGAUUAUCAAAUUAGGAUGGUGAACUUGUUACGAGUACAUACAAUGCAUCCAUAGCUUACAUUAUGCAUGUUUAGUACGCGUUCCACGAUACUCGAUGCUCGUUGCUAGUUGGCUCCACUUUUAAAAUCAUCUUCUACCAUACAUAUUUGUAUGAUGUUACGUACCUAGCUGAUAUGUAAUACAUUGACCAAGGCUAGGUGAGAGUCGCCUCAUCGUUGGGGGUCGCGUUUACUGGAACUGUCCCAUAGAUUAGAGUUUUAUGAAAAGUCCCGUAUUUUUGUAAAUUUAUGGUAAAUGCGCG